GAUGAACGCUGGCGGCGUGCUUAACACAUGCAAGUCGAACGGUGAAGCAGGAGCUUGCUCUUGUGGAUCAGUGGCGAACGGGUGAGUAACACGUGAGCAACCUGCCCCUGGCUCUGGGAUAAGCGCUGGAAACGGCGUCUAAUACUGGAUAUGUGAUGCGACCGCAUGGUCUGCAUCUGGAAAGAAUUUCGGUUGGGGAUGGGCUCGCGGCCUAUCAGCUUGUUGGUGAGGUAAUGGCUCACCAAGGCGUCGACGGGUAGCCGGCCUGAGAGGGUGACCGGCCACACUGGGACUGAGACACGGCCCAGACUCCUACGGGAGGCAGCAGUGGGGAAUAUUGCACAAUGGGCGGAAGCCUGAUGCAGCAACGCCGCGUGAGGGAUGACGGCCUUCGGGUUGUAAACCUCUUUUAGCAGGGAAGAAGCGAAAGUGACGGUACCUGCAGAAAAAGCACCGGCUAACUACGUGCCAGCCGCCGCGGUAA
rnacentral:rRNA from 1 species